GCCUGAGUGGCUCAGUCGGUUGAGCAUCUGACUUCGACUCAGGUCAUGAUCUCACAGUUCAUGAGUUCGAGGCCCACGUCAGGCU
rnacentral:tRNA from 1 species